GACGAACGCUGGCGGCGUGCUUAACACAUGCAAGUCGAACGGUAAGGCCCUUCGGGGUACACGAGUGGCGAACGGGUGAGUAACACGUGGGUGAUCUGCCCUGCACUUCGGGAUAAGCCUGGGAAACUGGGUCUAAUACCGGAUAGGACCCUGGGAUGCAUGUCCUGGGGUGGAAAGCUUUUGCGGUGUGGGAUGGGCCCGCGGCCUAUCAGCUUGUUGGUGGGGUGAUGGCCUACCAAGGCGACGACGGGUAGCCGGCCUGAGAGGGGGACCGGCCACACUGGGACUGAGAUACGGCCCAGACUCCUGCGGGAGGCAGCAGUGGGGAAUAUUGCACAAUGGGCGCAAGCCUGAUGCAGCGACGCCGCGUGAGGGAUGACGGCCUUCGGGUUGCAAACCUCUUUCAGCACCGACGAAGCGCAAGUGACGGUAGGUGCAGAAGAAGGACCGGCCAACUACGUGCCAGCAGCCGCCGCCG
rnacentral:rRNA from 1 species